rnacentral:rRNA from 1 species
GAUGAACGCUGGCGGCGUGCCUAAUACAUGCAAGUCGAGCGAACGGACGAGAAGCUUGCUUCUCUGAUGUUAGCGGCGGACGGGUGAGUAAAACGUGGAUAACCUACCUAUAAGACUGGGAUAAAUUCGGGAAACCGGAGCUCAUACCGGAUAAUAUUUUGCACCGCAUGGUUCAAAAGUGAAAGAAGGUCUUCCUGUCACUUAAAGCUGGAUCCGCGCUGCAUUAGCUAGUUGGUAAGGUAACGCCUUACCAAGGCAACGAUGCAUAGCCGACCGGAUAGGGGGAUCGGCCACACUGGACCUGUAACGAGGCCCGGACCCCUACGGGAGGCAGGGGAAGGGAAACGACCGCAAGGGGCUAAAGCCUGACGUAGCAACGCCACGUGAGGUAUGAAGUUCUUCGGAUCGUAAAACUCUGUUAUUAGGGAAGAACAUAUGUGUAAGUAACUGUUCACAUCUUGACGGUACCUAAUCAGAAAGCCACGGCUAACUACGUG